CCCCAUCAGAUGUUGCUUAUACUAAUGCCAACUGAUGGAAACACAACAUUUUGGAAUUGGGAUGCAAAAGACAGAGCUCACAUGUGGAAGACAGUACGGAGUGAUACAGCGCAAAGAUGUUCAAACUUUGGUACAUAAGCUGUUUUCAGUGGCUUUCCAGAAGCAACUCCAGCUGUCUAAACCUCUGCACCCAUGCCUGCCUGCUGCCACACAGGUGCUCACCUGGCUCGUACAGCACCAGGACAAAUGCAGCUGUCUCACAGCUUGUCAUCUAUGUGGCUCUCCACAGGGGAUGUCACCAGACAGCAAAGCAUUUAGUCCAAAAAGAGUAUCGUGUGUGACUAUACAAAUUCAACAUACGACCAAGGUAAGACUACUCAUUAGCCACUGAAAUCCCUCAGAACUACGAGAUAGGAGCUGUUCUUUACUGAGUAGAGCGUAGUGUCCUCACAAGCAUUUAUUUUCCUUUACAACUUCCCCUUGAAAAGGUUUCAGACAGCCAACAGUAUGGCUUAAAUCCCAAACUAGGUCAGCGCGAAAUUUCCAUCCAUAUUUUGGUUCCUUACUUUGUGGUUUCUCUUUUCGUCUUUCCUUUUGAUCACAGCAACAGAAACAACAUUUUAUCCAUUUUUACUAGAAAAAAAAAAGAAGUAACAUAGCCAGAAAGGUAAUGAUUAAUCCAUUCUGUAAGAAAAAGAAAAGUUCUGCUUGUAAACCUACUGGUAUUAUCUCGCCAGUAUAAAUAGAAACAUGCUCAGAGAAGGCACAGGAUGGAAAACUCAUGAUGAAUUGUUAGGGCAUGUUGCGUUGGUUCUGUCAAUGCCUGCAGUCAGAUGAUUUCACUGGCUGUACAGGAUGAAAUCUCAUAUUUCAAUGUAUAAGUAAAAGUGUCAAAGUUCAGCUGAAGCAGGGACGAUUACAGAGCAAAUUUUGUGUGUAUUUGUAGCCAGGGCACCAGAGCAAUAGAAGAAGCCAAAAUGAGCCGGAAAAACAAAAGGAGUUUAAAGGAGAAAUUUGCCUUGAAGAACAGCUUGGUUAAAGAAGCCCUUUCAGAAUUCCUGGGAACUUUUAUACUGAUAGUAAGUGUCAGCUGCUUUCCUUCCUUCUUACUAAUUUAAUGUUGGACAGUGCUCGUAAGGGGACAUGUGUGCUUUUUCCUUGUACUAUACCAGCAGCGUGGUUACUGCCUGACAAACACUGCACAGCCUUGAAUGAAUUGCUGCUGUUUAUGGUAAGUUUGUAAUUCCUUUCUUCACCUGAUGUAAUUAUCACCGGCUGUUAAACACUCAUAGUUUUACGUAUUACAACUGUCUGAUAAACAUUUGAUUUUUAAAGGAGCAGAAUUUGAGUGAACAGCCACGUUCUAAAAAGUUCAGACGCAAUGAAUGUUAGCAAUACUCCUGCAUUCUUUAACUCUGUAUUUUAUUCUACUUUCACUUCUAUGUACAAUUUCCAUUUGCUUUAACAACCCCACUGGACUGCACAUUUAGAAGAUAAUUUUAGCUGUUAUUUUCCUGUGCUCACAGAGACUGAUCCAUGUGACUUGUACUGAGCUUAUCAAGUUGUGCUGCCGAAUCUUUAGAGAUUUUGUAAAUUAACUAUUUUUUGUUUAGUUUUCAAUUGUAUUACAUAAAUUAUACAUUUGCUUGUUAUGUAGUCUGUUACAGUGUUACAUAAAGAGCAAAGCUCCACAUUUUCACAUCCCUAAUUUUUUUUUAAACUUCAUUUCUUGCUCAAGUUUUUGUGCAUUUUGUACUGGGACACAAAGCUGUCUGGUGAUUUACCAGGGUAGAGAGCAGUCUCAGCAACAGAGCUGGAAGUCAAGCAAAUAGAAUACUUAUGCCAAACUCUUUCUCCCUCCCGUUAGUCUGACAAAACAGUUCUGUUUAUUGCUAAAUAUUUCAUCGUAGUGAAAAGACAAAAAAUUAAAAAUAAGGCAUAGGACUCACAUAGUAUGUUUUAUAACUGGAACUGUAUUAGCUAAAUUUCAAGUAAGCCAUCUAAAAAAUUCCAGUAGCUCAUAAAAUACAUGAAAAUAAUGGUCUUUACUACGCUUCAGCCAAUUGAAGGGCAGAGGCACUAAAGUAACAUUAUUCUCAAAUUUAAUACCCUCCAUAAGACAUUACAGUAAGGAGCACAUUUAGAAGCAAGGAGCACAAAGCACUUUACAAACAUAAUGAAUUAAGUGUCACAACACCCUGGUAAGGAAGGGAAAUGUCAUUAUCUUCAUUUUAUAUAUUAGCAAACCUGAUUAGAGCAGACUGCACAGGAAGCCUGUUGCAGAACUCCGAAUAUAACCAAGAUCACCUGACUUCCAGUCCUCUGUCCUCGCUACAAGAUCAUACUCCUCUGUCCAUUAAUACAAUUAAGCAAGUGAGGAAAAUGCAUUAAAGUGCAGAUUAAAUCUCAAAUGCUAUUACUUAAUGUCCUGCUGCAGAAGACUAGAAGGAAAUGGAAACCCAGAAUCCAUUUUGUAUGACAUUCAUCGUAUGAAUACAGUAGAAAGUGAAUCUUCAAAAAUGUUGUUGAUAACUUGGUGAAUUUUUCAAUUCUGUUUUAGUCCUUCUAGUUUUAACCUUAGCUUAAAGCAGAAAAGAGCCUCACAUGGAUUUAACUGCAGCUUUCCAAGUGCUCAGAUACCCCGAUUUAUUUUUAGACUGUGCUAGUUAGCAGAAGUACAAAGUUUAUUGGGAAGAAAUGGACUUUUCUGCUGCUAUUUACUGCUAUUAGACUCUGUCAGCAACUUUAAGAGCAGACAAGUACUAAAUUUUUAUCUGAAAUUAGAGCUAAUGAAAGGGAGCCCUGUUAAGUUAGGAGACAGAAAUCCUUGACAAACACCUAACAUGUAUGCAAAAUAAGCAACAGCUUUCUUUCUCUAUACUAUUACUAUGCUUUAAUCCUGUUUCAAAGUGAAAGCAAGAUGACUGCUCAUAGUCACAGGUGGUUUGGCUCUUCCCUGAAAGCCAUUCUGUGCCUCUGCCCUGUAUCUUACAGCUAGUGGGAAGCAUCUGCACCAGGGUUCAGGGCAGUGAGGAGCUCUUCCAUUACCCAUAGGUUUUGUCUAGAAGUGUUAACUGAUGGUACCCAAACCUAUGAACAUCCCAGCACCUCUGGAAGUCAGCUGGGUGAAAUUCUAUCCCCCAGACUACCUGUUUCUCUUUCUUCUAGAGAACAUCACAGAUCAUGUACUAUUAAGAGCUUAAGUUGCCAUCUUGGGUAACUCUCCACUCUUGCAAUAUUGUUUUCCAAAUUGUAUAAUGUAAAAUCUGUAGGAUU
rnacentral:lncRNA from 1 species